AAAUGACCAGCUAACUCCGCCCAACCACAGGCCAGGUGCUUCCGGCCUGCACCCUUCUGCCCCACGGACCCCUGCACCCGAGUUCUGACAGGAGAAAUUGUCGGAUGAUGGAAUGAACACAUUGGACUUCUCCCUGGCCCUCCCUCCUGCCUUCCCAGGGAUGAAAGAGCCUGUUGACAAAUUGGGUGAUGGAACUGGUUCACAGGCCAUGAAGGAGGAACACUGUCCAUGGGAGACCUGUUUAGGAUGGAAUUUCCCAGCCUCCUGUCCCAGCCCCUGCUUCUGUUUUCACACCUUCCUGCUGCCCUCUUCAAGUAUCGGUGGAGAGGAUUUGGAAAGAGGAGGCUGUGUGCUGCAGGCGCGGUCCCAGCUCAGCUGAGGGGGCCCAGAUUGGCAAGCUCUGGGGAUUGAUUGCUGGGACGAUCGAAUGAUCCAUCUUGAGAGCCCUUGGGAUUUGGCUCCGAGACCAAUGCAGUCAGCGGUAAUG
rnacentral:lncRNA from 1 species